rnacentral:rRNA from 1 species
GACGAACGCUGGCGGCGUGGAUUAGGCAUGCAAGUCGAACGGUAUCAUCCUUUCGGGGGUGAGAGAGUGGCGAACUGGUGAGUAACACGUAGGUUAUCUACCCUCAAGACGGGGACAACCCAGGGAAACUUGGGCUAAUACCGGAUGUGAGCAACUUUUAGUUGUUUGAAAGGUGGCGUAAGCUGUCGCUUGGGGAUGAGGCCUGCGUCCUAUUAGUUAGUUCGGUGAGGUAACGGCUCACCUAGGCAAUGAUAGGUAGGCGGCCUUAACGGGUGGUCGCCCACACUGGGAUUGAGAUACGGCCCAGACUCCUACGGGAGGCAGCAGUCGAGAAUAGUCUACAAUGGUCGGAAGACUGAUAGUGCGACGCCGCGUGAACGAUGAAUCCCUUCGGGGUGUAAAGUUCUUUUAUAUGUGAGCAGUGCUUCCUUAUAUUUAACAGUAUGGGGGAGAGAGAUAUUAGCAUAUGAAUAAGCAACGGCUAACUCCGUGCCAGCAGCCGCGGUAAAA